GUUGAAAAUUCCUCACAUAUUGUAUAAUAUUAUGUAAUACUACAGAGUACAGUUUCUAUAAUAUCAGCAAAUUUUAAGUGCACCAAAAGGCCUUAAUUUUCUAAAUUAUGCCAACUGUUGGAUUGUGUAAAUGUAUUUCUGAGUUCUAAUUCUAAGGUUUAUAAUAGGAUAAAUAGAUAAUUUCAAUUGAAUUUUCUAAUCAUUUGAUUCUGAUGGAAACACAUUUUUUCAUAUUUCUUUGGAUGACCAAACCUAACUAAACAUGUGCUAACAAGUGCUAGUGAGUAAUUUUAUUUUAUAUCUUUAUUAAGGCUUAUUCAAUCAAAGUAAUUGUGGACACUAAAUGGCAAAGUUUACAUCUGCUUUCCAGUGAGAACUUAAAAUUCAACAGUGAAUUAUAUCAUCAAUGGGAGGCAAUAUUUUGAAAUGGUUAAACAAUCCUGGACAAAGAAAGAUAACUCUAAUUUAAAAGUAACCUUUUUAUUGAAAUUAUAAGAUCUGAUUUAAUUUUAAUGGUUAUACACACCAAUUUUCUACUUGAAUAUCUGAGUAAAUAGAAAUUGAUCAAAAUCUUGAAAUGUACUUUAAUGUUUUGUGCUCUCAGAAAAAUGUUGGGGCCUGGAAAGUAUAGCAAACAAGCGGCCAGUCCGAUUAGGGUUUUGAUUCCAGGAAAGCAAUCUUUAUCCCAAAAAUGUCAGGUGAGCAUCAAAUAGUAAAUAUUCCAGCACAUGCUAAAUAAUGAAUGUAUAAUUAUUAAUAUCUUACCCGUUAAGUUUUUGUAGUCUAUUUGGAUGAUUUGAGAUCCAUAAACAGUGAGCAAUUCAUCAUGUCCCAGCUGGUCCGAGUACACAGUUAUCGUCCCUUGAUUUUCGUUAUGAAUAUAGUCCCUAGUGUGGACAGUGUGUUACUUGCCAAUCUUUUUUAUACCCCUUCCAAAUUUAUUUCUUCAUGUUUUAUGCCUCAAAUAGCAAGUAGGGGGAUAAAAAUUUACUGUGAAAAAAAUGAGUUUGAAAGUAAAGUUGUGAUUUAAUCCAGCUGAAAAAGGGUAAAAAUAAGUAUAUCUGGGGCUGUCAAAAGAUUUCAAGACCCCCUGAACAUAAAAUUGUCCAUAUUUUGAGUUAGAGCCAAUGAAGUUUUCUAUAAUUUUGAUAUAAUUUGUCCCAAAAGUAGUACAUAACACUGUAAAAAUAUUAUUGCGAAAGCACAGGUGGGAUUUUUUUUUUAUUUCCAUUUAUUGUCUAAAAGAAAUGCACUACGAAAUAACUGUGUACUCGGACCAGCUGGACAUAAGCUAGUUCUUUGUAAAAUGAGGAGGGCUUUUGUGUCAUAAGGUUGUAGUUUGUUACUGGGGACCAGAGUGCUUAUGUGUCCAAAGGCAGAGUUGCAAACACGGCAAUUGACAACCAGAUGCUCCCAGCAGGGGCGUAGCUUUAUACGACCGCAGAGGUUGAACACUGAACGGUUGGGGCAAGUAUGGACACAACAUUCAAGCUGGAUUCAGCUCUAAAUUUGGAUUGUGAUUAAAUAGUUGACACAGCAUAGGUUUCUGACACAGAAUGAAUGUGUUCUAAUGAACUUAAAAUUUUUGUUUUCUCUUAGAGCAAUUCACUAUGCUGUUGAAUAUUAAUCCUCUCAAAAAAAUGUUUUCUUUUUUAUUUAUGAAAUUUCAAAUGAGAAAAAUUG
rnacentral:lncRNA from 1 species